AGUGAACGCUGGCGGUAGGCCUAACACAUGCAAGUCGAACGGCAGCACAGUAAGAGCUUGCUCUUACGGGUGGCGAGUGGCGGACGGGGGAGGAAUACAUCGGAAUCUACUUUUUCGUGGGGGAUAACGUAGGGAAACUUACGCUAAUACCGCAUACGACCUACGGGUGAAAGCAGGGGAUCUUCGGACCUUGCGCGAUUGAAUGAGCCGAUGUCGGAUUAGCUAGUUGGCGGGGUAAAGGCCCACCAAGGCGACGAUCCGUAGCUGGUCUGAGAGGAUGAUCCGCCACACUGGAACUGAGACACGGUCCAGACUCCUACGGGAGGCAGCAGUGGGGAAUAUUGGCCAAUGGGCGCAAUCCUGAUCCAGCCAUACCGCGUUGGUGAAGAAGGCCUUCGGGUUGUAAAGCCCUUUUGUUGGGAAAGACAAGCAGCAGGUUAAUACCCCGCUGUUCUGACGGUACCCAAAGAAUAAGCACCGGCUAACUUCGUG
rnacentral:rRNA from 1 species